rnacentral:rRNA from 1 species
UGAAGCCGGAAUUGCUAGUAAUGGCAGGUCAGCAUACUGCCGUGAAUACGUUCCCGGGGCCUUGUACACACCGCCCGUCACACCAUGAGAGUUGGGGAUACCCGAAGCCUGUGAGCCAACUAUAUAGAGGCAGCAGUCGAAGGUAGAAUCAAUGAUUGGGGUGAAGUCGUAACAAGGUAGC